CUAGCCCCUUCUUCACGUCUCUCACCCCUGAAACCCUCGAUCUCGCUCUCAAACUCCAUACGGUGUGUUGAGCUUCUAUUGCAAACUCCAUAUGUCAAACACCAACACUCAUUUUGUAUAGACCUGCCUCCUCACAUCACGGAUGCCAUGGAUUCUCUGAUGAGGGGAAGGAUUGUUCUUGUCAUAGCACAUAGGCUUUCAACAGUUAAAAGUGCAGACAAUGUUGUUGUUAUAUCAGAUGGUUAGAUAGCUAAAAGCAGCACCCACGAGGAGCUACUUAGCCAGGAUGGAAUUCACACUACAUUAGUGAGGAGAUAAUUACAAGCCCUAAGUACUGCACUGUAGUUUAAAAUUGUAGAUAAAACUACAGGCAGUAGGAAU